UUGGCCGCAGGCAGGUACUUGCCGUCGUAGACGCUGGCCGUGGUGAAGAAGGCGAUCCAGGACACGAAGUUGAAGAGCAGGCUGAAGAGCCUUUCCCCCUCUCAUCCCACCUCUCUCCUGGCCACCCUCCCCUUCCAGAACCUGCCAAAGACCCAGAGGAUUUCUCAGACUCUCCCAUUAUUGGCAACCUCAUUCAUCAUUAGAGCUUCUGCGAGGUUGGACAGAAAAGCCUGCACCUCAGAAUCACCUCCCCUUGAGUGAGACAGAAGGUGAAGAAUUGCUUACACUCCCGCAGCUCCUUGACCUAGCCGCUGAAGAUGAACGAGGCCCAGGGCCCCAGGCCCCAACUGCCAAACUGCCAUCAAUGCAGCAGAGCCCAGGGUAACUCUGCUAGUAUCAGGUAAGCCGAUCUCCUCUUUUUUUUUUUUUUCUUUGAGACGGAGUCU